UACGGAGGGUGCAAGCGUUGUCCGGAUUUAUUGGGUUUAAAGGGUGCGUAGGCGGCCGUUUAAGUCUGGGGUGAAAGCCCGUUGCUCAACAACGGAACUGCCCUGGAAACUGGAUGGCUUGAGUACAGACGAGGGUGGCGGAAUGGAUGCUGUAGCGGUGAAAUGCAUAGAUAGCAUCCAGAACCCCGAUUGCGAAGGCAGCUGCCUAGACUGUAACUGACGCUGAGGCACGAAAGCGUGGGGAGCGAACAGG
rnacentral:rRNA from 1 species